rnacentral:lncRNA from 1 species
CACAAGGCAUAUAAAAGUUUAAUGAGAGCCAAUUGAUUGAUUGAUUGUUUGAUCAACAGUGUCUGCAAUGUCUCAACCCCAGACUGCAAGGGGUGGAACAGUGAGUGAUGUGAUUUAUCAUGCUGACUUUUCAAACAUCCUUACAUUCUUGCAUCCCUACAUCAGCUGAUGGUGGCGUGUAAAUUAGGAGCCAAAGAUAGAUUAAGGUGAAGAAAAACAGAUUCAAAGCAAUGCCAAGAACCCAGAAGAAAAGUAAUGUCCUAUUUAAGGGGAAAUACCUUGAAGACUCCAACAAACAGACUUCUAGGAACUGGAACUACAUUAAGUGACUUGAAAAAGGGUGACAGCAAUUGUAACUCAAGAAAUUCUGUG